rnacentral:rRNA from 1 species
UACGUAGGGACCGAGCGUUGUCCGGAAUCAUUGGGCGUAAAGAGCGUGUAGGCGGCCUUUUAAGUCCUGCGUGAAAUCCUGCGGCUCAACCGCAGACGGUCGUGGGAAACUGGAAGGCUAGAGUGCGGGAGAGGAGAGUGGAAUUCCCGGUGUAGCGGUGAAAUGCGCAGAUAUCAGGAAGAACACCAAUGGCGAAGGCAGCUCUCUGGGACGGUACUGACGCUGAGACGCGAAAGCGUGGGGAGCGAACAGG